UUAAUUUCUUUUGCUUAGAUAUGCCAGCUUUUGUUUCUGUAGUUUGACAUAAAAAGCAGUUUAACAUUGAUAAGCCAUCAGUACUCAGAAUAUGCAUAAUCCGAGCUAUUGUUGCAGCCUUUGUGCUUCAUCAGUACUCAUAAUAUGCAUAAUCCGAGCUAUUGUUGCAACCUUUGUGCUUUUCCAAUUCUCCAAAUUUUUAGUGUCACUUUAAGCAAUUCUGAAUUUAUAAUCAUAAAUCACAAAGACAACAUUGAUAUUAGUACUUUGUGGGCGAGAUACAUUAUUCUGUUAGUAUGGAG
rnacentral:lncRNA from 1 species